AUUGAACGCUGGCGGCAUGAUUUACACAUGCCAGUCGAACGGUAACAGGCCGCAAGGUGCUGACGAGUGGCGAACGGGUGAGUAAUGCAUCGGAACGUGCCCAGUCGUGGGGGAUAACUACUCGAAAGAGUAGCUAAUACCGCAUACGAUCUAUGGAUGAAAGCGGGGGACCGUAAGGCCUCGCGCGCUUGGAGCGGCCGAUGUCAGAUUAGGUAGUUGGUGGGGUAAAGGCUCACCAAGCCAACGAUCUGUAGCUGGUCUGAGAGGACGACCAGCCACACUGGGACUGAGACACGGCCCAGACUCCUACGGGAGGCAGCAGUGGGGAAUUUUGGACAAUGGGCGCAAGCCUGAUCCAGCAAUGCCGCGUGCAGGAAGAAGGCCUUCGGGUUGUAAACUGCUUUUGUACGGAACGAAACGGCUCUGGUUAAUACCCGGGGCUAAUGACGGUACCGUAAGAAUAAGCACCGGCUAACUACGUG
rnacentral:rRNA from 1 species